UGCUUGCAGCUUUCUGAAGUGGUGUGGUGUUACUCCAUGUGGGUUGAAGAUUUCUGGAAUUCUGUGGUGAUGCUCUGUGUGUUGUGGCCAUCUCAAGUGUGACAUGUGCUGCCACUGACCAGCUGGGAAUACUGGGAAGCCAAAUCACCCAUUCCACCCUUGGCUGCUGUUGUUACCAGACACGGACUUCUGACACUCUCAGCUGAAGUACAAGAAAAGGACUUCACACAUCCGAAGUACAAGAAAAGGACUUUUCCCUAAUUUUAGCAUUUUGUGGGGCACAAGUUGGGAGCUGAGAGCAACAAACUCCUUUGGUCAUGAAGAUGAGCUUCACUUCACUCCUAUUGUUUCCAGUCACCACAGAUCAUGCUUCUGUGGAGUUCCUAGCCUCUCACUGGAAGAUCCUGCUGGAUCUUGAACUGCAUGAUCUCCUCAUCUUCCUGGAUGUGCUGGACAGCAGGAAGGCCCUGCCCUUCUCUUUAGCACCUGAUGAUCUUUGGACAACUUUGCUGCCCUCUCUGUAAAUGAAUGUCAGCUUUCCUACACAAGGACAGGGCUGGCUACUGAAGUACAAUGCCUGUUUUAUUUGAAUGUUCUCUGGGAAACAAUUUAGAGAGCAUCUAUAUCCAACAAUUCCUGUGCUACAGUCUUUGUACCUUGGAGAGUUAGGUCAAGGGUUUUGGAUCAAAGCCUACCUGAGACUGCACACAUCAUGGGGCCCAUGCAGAGAAGCAUUGAAUUUCUUGCUUAAAAUUGGCUGUUAAAUGCAAAUGCAUCCUCCUUUGUGUCCAAGCUGAGUGUUCUGUAUUUUCUCCAGGCAGCAAACUGUUGAACAGAUUCCACUUCAUUUCAAGAUCUUUCCAUCAGGCUCCUGAUGAAUUCAUUAAGCUAUAUAUUCAUUACAGGUGAUGAAAGGUAUAUAACCUUUCCAGAAAGGAAGUAGUCUGCUCCAUAAAUAAAUCUAGUUUUGGAAAUUAAAGAUGUGCUAGCAUGAAAUACCUGGAUCCAACAGUGCUGAAACAUGAGCAAAGUAAUUGUAAUGUCAGCUUUGGAAGGAGGUUGCUCACAGUGGAGUGGAUGAACCUUGUGAAGUGUCCUGAUGGUCUGAAACUUCAGGCUUUGCUGGAUCAGGAGAGAAAGUACAUUCCUUCCCAGAUUUUUCUCUCAGUUGAAGCUUGAUCGUGGUAUUGCUGUUAAAUUUGUUGGCAGAGGGAAUUGCCCAUGGGUGCACUUUCUGUAGCAGUUGCAUACCAAUGAAAAAUGUUCUAUAGCCAUGGCAGCGUUAGAGGAUCUCUGUGGUUUUCCUUAAUGACUGGACACAGUCCUGUGAAAAGUAUAUUAGGAUACAAAUGUAAUCUGCAUUUGUGAAAAAUCAAACAUCCUAGCUAAGACCUGAGCAGAUCCUCCUCAAUGCUGAUUGUGAACAAGGUAUGAACCAGGUCUAGUAAAGAGAAAUAUAAAUUAACAUCAUAUGAAAGCUGUAGUGUUUUAAACCUGUAGUUGUUUUACACUGUAAUACCAAUACAUGAUACAACCAACUUAAAUGCUACUAUAAUUCUAUUUAAAUUGGGACUGUCCCUCCCCACUCUUUCCCAGUAAUUCCAUUUCGAUCUUGUGCAAAAGAUUUUGCCCUGGAUGAAGCUCUCAAAAGCACUGUCAGGCUACUGUGGACAAAGGGGCUACAGUCAGUCACUUACCAGACACAAUAUACUGUUUUACAGUUUAAUGCAGACUCAAAAUAAGAGCCACAUAUUUAAAUUUUAGCGUGACAAGUCAUGUGCACCCACAAAUCACACUGCUGUCAUCAGGGUCUUAAAAAAGCCAUCUUUUUUGGAGAAAAAGUACACUAAUGCAGUUAAACAAAGUACAUUACAGGAGAAGGAGAAGUAAAUCUACAGAAGGCAAUUUAGUGUACUACCUAUUAGUACCUUUUAGGAUAUUUUUAAUGUGCUUCAAAUAUUAGAUAGCAAGCUGGAAAAAAGUGUAAUCAAGUGUAAUCUUCCUUCAAGGAUGUAUUUCUUCCUUCAACAUAAAUAUUAGUGUCUUAAAAUGCAAGUUUGUCAGUCAGUGCAUGAAUGACAAACUUAUUAUGCUGCAAGCAAAUGCUUCGUGCUAUUGGUAGAGUUUUCCUUAAUAAAAUGCAGAGGCUAGAAUGUUAAAUCUUUUGAAGUUGCUCCUAAACAUGUAAUAUUUAGCUUGAGAAGCAAUAGUGAGGAAAUGAACAUGAUAAGAGCUCAUUCAGUAACAGCCCUAAAUUGAUUAUUUCCUUCCUUAUGUAAACUUAUCAGUCAGCCCUUUGGGCUCACUUCCGAAUACCAGCUCAGCACAAGAGUCUUAUCACAAGGAAAUGGAAUGUAAAAGCCCUGACAAUUUUGAUAAGGCACGUACUUUGGUUAUGAUCCUAUCUCUCCUCUCCUCCCUUUUAAAUAAUUCAUCUGCACUAAAAGGGGAGAUGCCCUCCCUGUAACUUUGGUAUAAAUAAAAGUUGAUGUUGU
ensembl:lncRNA